UACGUAGGGUGCGAGCGUUAAUCGGAAUUACUGGGCGUAAAGCGUGCGCAGGCGGUUUUGUAAGCCAGGGUGUGAAAUCCCCCGGGCUCAACCUGGGAAUGGCAUUUGGGACUGCAAGGCUGGAGUGCGGCAGAGGAGACUGGAAUUCCUGGUGUAGCAGUGAAAUGCGUAGAUAUCAGGAGGAACACCCGAUGGCGAAGGCAGGUCUCUGGGCUGACACUGACGCUCAUGCCACGAA
rnacentral:rRNA from 1 species